CCUACGGGAGGCAGCAGUAGGGAAUCUUCCGCAAUGGACGAAAGUCUGACGGAGCAACGCCGCGUGAACGAAGAAGGCCUUCGGGUCGUAAAGUUCUGUUGUUAGGGAAGCGGUACCUAACCAGAAAGCCACGGCUAACUACGUGCCAGCAGCCGCGGUAAUACGUAGGUGGCAAGCGUUGUCCGGAAUUAUUGGGCGUAAAGCGCGCGCAGGUGGUUCCUUAAGUCUGAUGUGAAAGCCCACGGCUCAACCGUGGAGGGUCAUUGGAAACUGGGGAACUUGAGUGCAGAAGAGGAAAGUGGAAUUCCAAGUGUAGCGGUGAAAUGCGUAGAGAUUUGGAGGAACACCAGUGGCGAAGGCGACUUUCUGGUCUGUACUGACACUGAGGCGCGAAAGCGUGGGGAGCAAACAGGAUUAGAUACCCUUGUAGUC
rnacentral:rRNA from 1 species